rnacentral:lncRNA from 1 species
UCGAGUCGCCACCGCACUUUUAUUUAUCCUAAGGAAAGGCUAAAAAGCGAACAAAGGCCUAAGAAGUUUUACACAUAGAAAACUAAUAAAAAGAUCAGAGAAUCUAGGUAAGGGUAAAUUACGCAAGGGGAAGGUGUUAGGCACCCAAAACGUCCUAGGUACUCCUAGGGAGCCCUUUUCACACUUGUUGAAUGAAAAUGUUUAUUCGUUUAUGACAUAUUGUGCAAACAUGAAUGGGAAGAUGAGAAAAGAAUGUACAAUUUUU